CACACACACAUAUGAAUAUACAUAUAUAUUCUAUAUGCAUAUAUUUCCGUUGCGAUAUACUGAUAAAACAAAGCAGGAUGAUUAUGUCAAUGAAACCAAUAAAAAAACAUACAAAAAAAAAUAUAUAUAUAUAUAUAUAUACACGUUAAAACACAAUAAAUUAUAUGAGAAAUAAAAAAGAUUAUGUAAUAUUAAGAAGUUGUAGGCUAAACGCUAAGAGUAUAUAAUAAUACGUGAGUGUACAACAAGUAUGAUUUAUAGAGAACGAGAGAGAAGUGGCGAGUGCGAAUAACGACAAUAUAAUAUAAUGACUAAAGCAAGCAAAAGAAAAAGAUGUAAUACGUGGCAGGCUGCCACAUCAAGCUUGUUGUUUUUGAGUCAUUGCGUAAAAAUAUGGAAUUGAUGCGUAUUUUACGUUCGUACGUGACAAUAUAAUAUUAUGUACUUUAUUAUGAUUACUAACAUUUGUCCGCGCCCCUGUACUAACAGCUUAUUUGACCUUUUUUUUCAAUCGGUAGAAAUUAUUAUCUGAUUAGUUUAAAUAUCAAGAUAUUUGGCAUGAAAUUUGCCAAAAUCACCCUUCAACAUCAGUGAUGCAAUUUUUAUUUGAUUGUAUAGCUUACUACCAUCAAGAGUAAAUUUAUUUGUACUCAACUAUUUACAAUGUAUUAUAUGUUGGCAAGAAAAGGUGAAAAAUUGAAAGAUAAAGAGGAAGUGAAAAAAGUGAACACGACGCCAAAACCAAAGAUACGGAUAAAAAUCAAUAGUGUGUAAAACAAGUUAAAUCAUAAAUUAUAUUAUAUUAAUUAUAAAAAAAAAAAAAUUCGUAGGCGAAUGCACGAGAUCGUUGCAUAUUAUGACUGUGUACAAAUGCGAGCAAUAUACGUAGCGACCUUUUCCAAUGAUUUGCAUUACGAGACGACGCGCACUUUGAAUCGAAAGUGUGCGAUGAAAAAUGAACUAUAUAAAAUACUGUAAUUGGGCAUUUCACUCAAUCUCCUGUCGUCUGUUAUUAUAGGUAUACAACUAAUUAUUCCUCAUUGAAAAUUUGAAGACAAAAUAGCAAUGUUAGUAAUCUCAUCAUAUAAUUGAAGAAUGAACAAUGGAAUUUAUUGAAAUAUUCAAAGGAUUAAUGCGAUCUUAAUGUUACAGUUGGAUAUCAUUGUAAUAGGCGUUGUUUAUCAAGCGCACUGUAACGGGGCUUCCAUAUCAUGAGAUUGAACAAAUAUAUAUAACGAAAUUUUAAAUAUGCUGUACAUACUUGAUUUUUUUAAACCAAUGUCAAGCUCCGCAUGUUAUACGAGUUUUACGAUGUUUUAUUUAUUUUUUUUCAAAUAUGCACUCGAUUAUAACACUUAUACAAAGCGAUCGACGUAUUGGUUUUCUUUUAUUUAGCAAAGCGAUCGUAUACACUUACCAGCAUAUAGCUAUAUCCCAGUCCAAUAAUAUACUUCACCCGUGUACGUGACGAAUUUGUAAACCACAGCUGCGGACCGUUACAAGUUUCGGUCACGAUCUAUUUCCCCCUUUCGUAGAAUAAAAGGCAAAUUUGGUUCGUUUCAAAGCCAUUUGAUUCAGCGAUAUAGACGAUGAAAGGUCCACAUCCGAUUUUGUUCGUUCUUUGUAUGUUGUUAUUAAUCAUAUUAGUUGCCGGCGAGGGAGAUGAAUCUUCAGAGGAAAAUAAUUUUCACGAAGAUAUUCCUCGUGUAAAAAUCAAAGUAUUCCGCGGUGAAUUUAAAGAAGAAAAUGGCGUAACUUAUGCACCUUGGGGAUUCUGGAUAAAACAACCGAGUCAAAAAUAAAUGUUGAUUUGAUAAUAUUUAAAUGUACAUUUGAAUACAUAUAUACUAAAAUAUCUUUUUAUAAACCUUCUAAUUUUUUACUUUGAAACAAAAUCUGAUACUAUUUUAAAAUGAAUAUUUUCAAGAUUUAGUAUUUCAAUUUUUGCAUGAAUGUCUGAUUACAGUAUAUAGGAAAGGACAUUAUAUGCUAUGAUUCAAUAAAUAUGCAAGAUUUCUUUUACAUAUUUUGAGAUUUUAUUACAUUAUUAUUUUUGAUCUCAUUGACACAUAAAAUCAUAUGUCUUCUUAUUUUUUGUUGCCACCUCCGAAUUCGGGAUUGUUAGGAUUAAGCUGGUUGCUACGGUUGUCGCGGUUCGAUUGCGCCCCUUGGUAUUCCGCUUUAUGACCCGGGCCCGUAGAUUGAUGGUUCGGGUUGCACUGAUUUGUGCGGUUGG